GUGUUGUAAAGGUGACUUAAGAGAUUAAAAUUAAUUUGGUUGCUGUUGGUUCUGAACAAAUAAUGAGUUCUUUUAUUUGAGGUAUGCCAUUUUGAAGACUGAGACGUUGGAGUUUUAUCCUAGAGGAUAAAGGAAAUCUUUGGGAAAGUCAGUAUUUUAUAUAGCAAAAAUAUGAACCUCAAACUGAAUCCUCUAAAGGCCCCAUACAAUGAAGUAGACAUUGGUGGAAACAUUUACACCCAGUCAGCUUGAAGAGUUUCAAAUGGACCCUACCACUGAGAAAUCAAGAUGGCAGUCUACUAUGGGGAAUUGAGGAAAAAUGGAUUAAUACAAGAGUCCUGUGAUAAUAUACAACCAAGACAGGGUUCUUUUAACAUGGAUUCCAUGCAGUGAAUGAAGACAUAGGUUUCUUACCCAACACAAAUGGACAGUGGAUUUGACUUUCUAAAGACUUUUUUUGUGGACAUUUUGACAUUUGGAGAAGAAAGAUGGCACACUAACCCAGAUAAUAGUUUUUAUGCCUGGAAUUUUUUGCAGUUUGAUUUGUAUGCGUAUGACCUCUUGAAAUGUUAAUUUUUAAUAAAAUUUGUAACACUUAAAAAUUUCUCAGUUUGGGUUUUUUUUUUUAAGUGGAAGUUUAAUUAAAUGUUUAGUUUUAUUUUAGUAAUACUUUGGCCUUUGUAGUUGCCGAGUGGUAAAGUGUACUGAAUAUGAAUAAAGCUGGUAAAUUGGAAAUGGUGUAAUCGAAAACAUUUUACUUGGUUUAUGAAGAUUUACGUUUUUCACAAAGUUGUGCUCUUAGAUGGUCAUUUGGUUUAAAUACUGUUUUGUUUGUGCUUUCAUGAAACACCUUUCAAAACAACUCAAUGGGUAAUAAUAGAAUCUGAUUUUAAUCUGCCACAAGAUUUUAAUGAACUUGAAACAAACUGCUUGUUGCUCGAAAAUUCAGGAUGAGUGAUACACAUAUACUUCUGAAUUAUUUUGUGUUGAUUGAAAUGGUUUCUUAAGCUUUUUAAUACUAUAAAUACAUCUUGCUAUAGAAUAUUCAUCUGAAUAUUUAAAUUAAUGUCUCCUAUUGUCUUACUAUUAGAGGAAGAAGUGUUGGAUUUAUGGGUUAGGGUCCUUGGAGUAUUCACAAUUUUUUAAAUUUGAAAUUAUGUGUGUAAUCCAUUUUAUAUAACUUUGAAGUAGGAUUAAUAUCUUGUAUCGUCUUUAUUUUGUACAAUUGGGGAUUUAGAAUAAAUGAAUUGCACCCUGCCAUAGAUUACUUACGUUUGAUUUUUAAAUGCCAGGUUUUCAUUUAUUACUAAUCAACUGAUACCAGUUUUGGUAACUAUUACAAAGGUGGUAGGCAUUAUUUUGGUAGACAAAAUGAGUUCUUGAUUCUGUUUUCCCAUUUUACAUGAGAAGAAUAAAUAGUUCAGGUUAAAUUGUUUUGUGUUAAUCAUACUGUUUGUGAUUCAUGUCAAAUACUGCAGCAUACACAUCCAUGGUUAAUACACGAGCACCAUUUGUUAUUGACUGAUGUGAGGUGGUUGGUCUUUGUUAAAUUCAAAAAUGGAAUUUUGGAUAUUGUUCUUGCUACGAAAUUUAUCUUUGUGUGUAGAGUAUGGAAUUGAAACAGUUUGGAUUAUGGAUUUUACCUAGAUUGGACAUUGUUGAUUUUGUUUGGUGUAAAUCUAAAGUGGAUUUCUUCAGUGAGGGAGAGACAUGGUUCUGGCAGAUUAUGUUGAAUAAGGAAAGUUGAUUGGAUUUUUUUGGGUGUGUGAAUAUGCUUGUCUGAAUGGAGUGCUUGGUAGGAUAUUGUUUCUGGAAUUAGUAAUUUGUUUCUGUGGAUCUCAUGGUUUUGAUAUUUAGGAGAAUUUGCUUUGUGACAUUACUUUGAUAAUUUGCAAUCACGUAUGUCCUAUUGUUAAUAACAUUGUUGAAAUGGGUGUAUACUUACUUGAUUUGAAAUAUAAGGGAAGUGUUGGGAUAUGUGUUUUCUGUUGGAUUUGGACGUGGAGUUUCUUGGGUUACUGAUUUAAAGGUGAUCGUGUUUGGACCAUACUCUUGAAUUUUUGCCUGAAUCAGUAUGGGAAGUAAAUAUAUUGUGAUUAUGAGAAGUUUCUUUGGGGGGAGGAGUGUAAUAUUUUCAAGGUUAUAUAAUGGGUUAAAGAAUUUUGUGAAAGAACAAAGAAAAAUGGAUAUUCUUGAAUAAAAAUUGGUUGCAUUAACUUUUGCUCCAGUGCAACUUGAACACUAGGGAGGCGCUCUUGAGUUGUAAAAGUUACCCCUUUCUUCCAGUGGAGAUGGAAAAUUCCCCCUUAAAUUUUGUCUUUAGAUUAUUUUUAGGCAUCAUAAAGAAGGAAAAACUUGAAUUUAUAUUAUGAAAUUAAGGUUUUAC
rnacentral:lncRNA from 1 species